rnacentral:rRNA from 1 species
GACGAACGCUGGCGGCGUGCCUAAUACAUGCAAGUCGAGCGGACUUGAUGAGAAGCUUGCUUCUCUGAUGGUUAGCGGCGGACGGGUGAGUAACACGUAGGCAACCUGCCUGUAAGACUGGGAUAACUACCGAAACGGUAGCUAAUACCGGAUAGCUGGUUUUCUCGCAUGAGAGAAUCAUGAAAGACGGAGCAAUCUGUCGCUUAUGGAUGGGCCUGCGGCGCAUUAGCUAGUUGGUGAGGUAAUGGCUCACCAAGGCGACGAUGCGUAGCCGACCUGAGAGGGUGAGCGGCCACACUGGGACUGAGACACGGCGCAGACUCCUACGGGAGGCAGCAGUAGGGAAUCUUCCGCAAUGGACGAAAGUCUGACGGAGCAACGCCGCGUGAGUGAUGAAGGUUUUCGGAUCGUAAAGCUCUGUUGCCAGGGAAGAACGUCUUAGAGAGUAACUGCUCUAAGAGUGACGGUACCUGAGAAGAAAGCCCCGGCUAACUACGUGCCAGCCGCCGCAGUAAAAC